AACGCUGGCGGCGUGCUUAACACAUGCAAGUCGAACGGUGAAGUAGGGAGCUUGCUCCCUGCGGAUCAGUGGCGAACGGGUGAGUAACACGUGAGCAAUCUGCCCCGAACUCUGGGAUAAGCGCUGGAAACGGCGUCUAAUACCGGAUACGACGCGGGAGGGCAUCCUCUCCGCGUGGAAAGAAUUUCGGUUCGGGAUGAGCUCGCGGCCUAUCAGCUUGUUGGUGAGGUAACGGCUCACCAAGGCGACGACGGGUAGCCGGCCUGAGAGGGUGACCGGCCACACUGGGACUGAGACACGGCCCAGACUCCUACGGGAGGCAGCAGUGGGGAAUAUUGCACAAUGGGCGCAAGCCUGAUGCAGCAACGCCGCGUGAGGGACGACGGCCUUCGGGUCGUAAACCUCUUUCAGCACAGACGAAGCGCAAGUGACGGUAUGUGCAGAAGAAGGACCGGCCAACUACGUGCCAGCCGCCGCAGUAA
rnacentral:rRNA from 1 species